rnacentral:tRNA from 3 species
GCCGGGGUGGCACAGUGGUUGACUGCGCCUGAUUUGUAAUCAGGAUCCGCAAGGACGCGUCGGUUCGAAUCCGACCCUCGGCUCCA